UCUCUGUUAUCCAAUUUUUGAACGCAUUAUUUCUCAUACAAUGAAAUGGAAUAACUUGAUUUUGCAGUGGCCAUGGAAAAUUUUAAGAUGAGAACUGUUGGGGUAGGUCCUCAUCAUUUACCCGACUAGCUUAUCUCCUCGCCUUCCGACCGACUAGCUGCACUUCGCUGACCCAGCUACUAUGACUCAAUCUGACUCUGACCAAUAGGUCCUAUCCUGACCGGCC
rnacentral:lncRNA from 1 species